UACGUAGGGCGCGAGCGUUGUCCGGAUUUAUUGGGCGUAAAGAGCUCGUAGGCGGCUUGUCGCGUCGACCGUGAAAACUUGGGGCUCAACCCCAAGCCUGCGGUCGAUACGGGCAGGCUCGAGUUCGGUAGGGGAGACUGGAAUUCCUGGUGUAGCGGUGAAAUGCGCAGAUAUCAGGAGGAACACCGAUGGCGAAGGCAGGUCUCUGGGCCACUACUGACGCUGAGAAGCGAAAGCAUGGGGAGCGAACAGG
rnacentral:rRNA from 1 species